UAAUAUAUUGACUCAUGUUUUGUGUAAAGGCGAGGAUGUUGAUAAGGUGAAUAAGUUCUUGGAUGAGAUGGAAGAAGAAGGAUUUAUUCCUGAUGUUGUGACUUAUAAUACACUGAUUGAUAGUU
rnacentral:miRNA from 1 species